GUCACGGUGUCCUUAAGCACAAUGCUACUCAUUUGUUCCGAAUCUUCAAUUGUUAACUUAAUAAAUACAAUUCGCAGUAAAGAAAUUGGGGCAAGGUAAUGGGCAACUAUACACAUUCCACAGACUCAGUGAAUUAUACACCUUCCACACGCUCAGUAAAAUAUAUAGUAAUGUGUUUCAUUUCCGCCGCAGGUCUCACCAUCACAGGGUAUCCCCUCAUGCUUCUCCCUCAACUCUCCCAAUAGGCCACAAGGGUGAUUGAUAAAAAAUUCCAAGCAGGCUCCACGUGAGGUGAAUCAAGGCUGGUUGAUGUGCUUUGAUUCGUGAUCUGGGUCGGCGCAUCUGUCGUUUUCAGUUGCAAAGAUGUAAAAAGCUAUUCAGGGUCUGCAUCCUGCCCAGCAGGUUCUUUGUUAUGACGCAAGAGGAAUUCCUUUCUUAUUGACCCUUCAAGUGGGAGUCGUUUAGAAGCAGCUUUCGUGCUUUUGCUUUCUUCUGGAACUCCAUGCAGAUUCUGAGUCCAGGGAGUGUAUUUGGCCCUCAGAAAUAAAUAACUUUGUUAUGGUUUUUGAUAAAAGAAAUAUGGACUUCCAAAUAGCUUGGAAGUUAUCGAUUAUAUGCAGCAAGGCCAUUUGAUCAAGUUGGCUCUUUCUUGACACCAUUUUCUAUGCAAGCUAUUUGAAUACAUAUUUUUCAAGACAAAGUACAGAAGUGUGUUUGGGUGAGGCCUAGAUUAAACAUCUCGCAUUUUGUUUCAGAAAUCAUCUCUACUUAAGUCCAAGAGGUCACCAGGUGAAGGGAUGGAUAAACUAUCAGGUUGCAUUAAUUUGGAUCUAUGAAACUGGUAAAAGGAUUAUAGUUGCUGCAACUCCUAAGGUCAAGCCUGUUACAUUGGAACUUGGUGAAGAAGUCGUAUUAGAGUAUGUUGACAUUGGCAAAAGGUACAUGACGCAUGCUGAGACAUAUAUACGCUGUGUGAGGCAGAGGUUAAAUGCUCUGUAAAUAAAGAGAGACAACAAGGAUUGGGAUGAAGAGGUGGAUAAGUUUGUGGCUUUACUUACUGAAUGUCCAGAUCCGUCUUGCUUCUCAGCCAAGGCCUACAUUUAUAGAAGACAUAUUCAUAUAAUGUUGUGUGCUGCAGGUGUCUAUACACGGGAACCAAAGAAGGCAACUCAGCAGUUUCUCCCUACCAUAAUCAAGAUUCACAAUGAUAGGAGGGCAGAGAGAUCAUGCUUCCAUGGAAUCCAUCCGUUUUCAUUCCCUUGCUGCUUUCUUGUUUCUUGAUAUUCAAUAGUCAUAUACCUUUAGGACUUGGGAUGCGAUUUCACAUGCAUCGCUGAUGAUAGUUGAUGCUUUUGCCGGUUCAUGAUGAGCUAUUUUUGUGUAAAGUUGCUAUGCAUGGCUCAGUUUUAUUGAGCUUAGAUGAAAAUUUGAGUGGACCACCUAAAUUCAUACAAAAAAGGGGGCCAAGUACAGCCCCAUAUUAGAGACA